GGCGUUAAGUUGCAGGGUAUAGACCCGAAACCCGGUGAUCUAGCCAUGGGCAGGUUGAAGGUUGGGUAACACUAACUGGAGGACCGAACCGACUAAUGUUGAAAAAUUAGCGGAUGACUUGUGGCUGGGGGUGAAAGGCCAAUCAAACCGGGAGAUAGCUGGUUCUCCCCGAAAGCUAUUUAGGUAGCGCCUCGUGAAUUCAUCUCCGGGGGUAGAGCACUGUUUCGGCAAGGGGGUCAUCCCGACUUACCAACCCGAUGCAAACUGCGAAUACCGGAGAAUGUUAUCACGGGAGACACACGGCGGGUGCUAACGUCCGUCGUGAAGAGGGAAACAACCCAGACCGCCAGCUAAGGUCCCAAAGUCAUGGUUAAGUGGGAAACGAUGUGGGAAGGCCCAGACAGCCAGGAUGUUGGCUUAGAAGCAGCCAUCAUUUAAAGAAAGCGUAAUAGCUCACUGGUCGAGUCGGCCUGCGCGGAAGAUGUAACGGGGCUAAACCAUGCACCGAAGCUGCGGCAGCGACGCUGAUGCGUUGUUGGGUAGGGGAGCGUUCUGUAAGCCUGCGAAGGUGUGCUGUGAGGCAUGCUGGAGGUAUCAGAAGUGCGAAUGCUGACAUAAGUAACGAUAAAGCGGGUGAAAAGCCCGCUCGCCGGAAGACCAAGGGUUCCUGUCCAACGUUAAUCGGGGCAGGGUGAGUCGACCCCUAAGGCGAGGCCGAAAGGCGUAGUCGAUGGGAAACAGGUUAAUAUUCCUGUACUUGGUGUUACUGCGAAGGGGGGACGGAGAAGGCUAUGUUGGCCGGGCGACGGUUGUCCCGGUUUAAGCGUGUAGGCUGGUUUUCCAGGCAAAUCCGGAAAAUCAAGGCUGAGGCGUGAUGACGAGGCACUACGGUGCUGAAGCAACAAAUGCCCUGCUUCCAGGAAAAGCCUCUAAGCAUCAGGUAACAUCAAAUCGUACCCCAAACCGACACAGGUGGUCAGGUAGAGAAUACCAAGGCGCUUGAGAGAACUCGGGUGAAGGAACUAGGCAAAAUGGUGCCGUAACUUCGGGAGAAGGCACGCUGAUAUGUAGGUGAAGUCCCUUGCGGAUGGAGCUGAAAUCAGUCGAAGAUACCAGCUGGCUGCAACUGUUUAUUAAAAACACAGCACUGUGCAAACACGAAAGUGGACGUAUACGGUGUGACGCCUGCCCGGUGCCGGAAGGUUAAUUGAUGGGGUCAGCGCAAGCGAAGCUCUUGAUCGAAGCCCCGGUAAACGGCGGCCGUAACUAUAACGGUCCUAAGGUAGCGAAAUUCCUUGUCGGGUAAGUUCCGACCUGCACGAAUGGCGUAAUGAUGGCCAGGCUGUCUCCACCCGAGACUCAGUGAAAUUGAACUCGCUGUGAAGAUGCAGUGUACCCGCGGCAAGACGGAAAGACCCCGUGAACCUUUACUAUAGCUUGACACUGAACAUUGAGCCUUGAUGUGUAGGAUAGGUGGGAGGCUUGGAAGUGUGGACGCCAGUCUGCAUGGAGCCGACCUUGAAAUACCACCCUUUAAUGUUUGAUGUUCUAACGUUGACCCGUAAUCCGGGUUGCGGACAGUGUCUGGUGGGUAGUUUGACUGGGGCGGUCUCCUCCUAAAGAGUAACGGAGGAGCACGAAGGUUGGCUAAUCCUGGUCGGACAUCAGGAGGUUAGUGCAAUGGCAUAAGCCAGCUUGACUGCGAGCGUGACGGCGCGAGCAGGUGCGAAAGCAGGUCAUAGUGAUCCGGUGGUUCUGAAUGGAAGGGCCAUCGCUCAACGGAUAAAAGGUACUCCGGGGAUAACAGGCUGAUACCGCCCAAGAGUUCAUAUCGACGGCGGUGUUUGGCACCUCGAUGUCGGCUCAUCACAUCCUGGGGCUGAAGUAGGUCCCAAGGGUAUGGCUGUUCGCCAUUUAAAGUGGUACGCGAGCUGGGUUUAGAACGUCGUGAGACAGUUCGGUCCCUAUCUGCCGUGGGCGCUGGAGAACUGAGGGGGGCUGCUCCUAGUACGAGAGGACCGGAGUGGACGCAUCACUGGUGUUCGGGUUGUCAUGCCAAUGGCACUGCCCGGUAGCUAAAUGCGGAAGAGAUAAGUGCUGAAAGCAUCUAAGCACGAAACUUGCCCCGAGAUGAGUUCUCCCUGACCCUUUAAGGGUCCUGAAGGAACGUUGAAGACGACGACGUUGAUAGGCCGGGUGUGUAAGCGCAGCGAUGCGUUGAGCUAACCGGUACUAAUGAACCGUGAGGCUUAACCUUACAACGCCGAAGCUGUU
rnacentral:rRNA from 1 species